AAAGCCUAUCAAAUCUGGAGACUAUGUAAGCAAUCAAAAUUAAGGAAGAUCUUUUUAACUUGUGUAGGAAUUCUUUCUAGUUGUUUGAUAUACAUUUUGUCAUAAUGUAUCCAAGUGUGAUGUCACACAUGAAUUGUCCAAUUCAGUUUUAAGUUUUAAUGAACCUUGGUUUAGAUUAAAAAUAAGUAGAGAGAACCAUUUGAACCUUGUUUUAGAUUAAAAAUUAAAAAUAAGUACAGUCUGUGAAGAAGCUAGGCUUGUAGGGCCUGUUUACUCGUGGUCUCCCCCUUCGUAUAGUCAUGAUUGGAAUCCAUAUCGGAGCGCAGUGGGGUAUCUAUGAUGCUUUCAAAGUUUUUGUUGGCCUGUAAGUUCUUUUCGUUGUAUUUGUUGAUUUGCUAUUUCCCAACUUUUCAAAUUUGUUCUUCUAUUUAAUGUGCAAGUCCUGAGUUUUUUUUUUAAAAUUCUAAAAGCAAAUUCAUUUUAUUGGCCCAUUUAUCUUUGUUCCCUGGUUAUUUUGGGGAAAACCUUUUAGAGAUUUUUGUUUUGUUUCUGUUGGGCCAUAAUACUUUUCAUUAUUGGGCCGGACCUAAUGGGCUCCUCCCUUGGACUAUGUUACAUUUAUUCUGUUGGGCCGAAUGGUUUGAACCCAGUUAGUUGAUUAUUCUAUUGGGUCAUUCCGGUCAGAUGAGUCAUCGUUAGUGCAUUGGGCUUAGUCAUUGGAUCGGCCCAUUAUACAAAUUGUCUUUUAUCUCAUCUUUGACCGGCCAUCAUAACAAAGGAUAACAGUUAACUGUUGUCUGCCACCUUUCUGCAUGGCAUUAAUGAGGAUGGGACUCAGAUGACCGGCGGUGGCAAACAGUGGCAGCAGAUAGGGGGUAAGCUGUACACUUUCGGCUGAGGGGACUGGCGUGGUAGAUGACUGUGUCAGGCAGUAGUGGGUAGCACGAUAAACCGGGUUUGGAGGGUGUAUGGGGCAACGAUCAUACGAGGAAGGAAGGUAACAAAACAUUACAACACACAAUCUAAACUAUUAUUCUCUCUCAAGCACUAGACAUUAUUUUCCUCCAUUGUUAACUUUGUGAUCGUCGAUACUGAUUCUCACGCCGUAGCUAUCCCCCGACGGUCAAGCCGUCAAGCUUUUGGUCUUGACUUGUUGAACUGUGUAGGAUAUCGGACGCGUCUUGGUGAUUGGGACGUGAGGAAAAAUCUUGGCGUUAACAGUUUCGAUAGAAGUUUCAUAUGUUGGAUUAUCGUUUCCUAGUCAGGACGACGCAUACGUGAUGUAUAAUACAUAUGCAAGGCAUAAAGGUUAAAAACUUAAAAACACUUAAAAACUUCCAAAAGAUUAAGCUCAAAACGCACUCAAUUCAUGGGUAUAAAAGGUACUCAUUAAUUGUAUGUAUCAAAGUGGAUUUUUUUAAGAUUGUAUAGAUAUUACAGUAGCUUCAUCAGUUGUUUAUGUCAUUUAGGUCUUUUAGCCUUGUUACAUUGUAUAAGUCAUAACUUGAUCCCAUGUUAAAAUCUACAGGUUUUAGUUGAGAGCUCUGCUUGGAGGAGUCUUGGUGCUGAUGAGGAAGAGACGAACUCAAGUUGUCAUUUUGCCAGUGCCAUGUGGAUUGUUGAGAUUGACUUGUCAAGUUGUCAAUUAUCACAUGCUUUUUGCAAGUUGUCUAGCACAUGCUUUCAGUGUAAUAUGAGAUAUUUGUAGUACUAUCUUCCAUAGUAAACAACUGGAAUUGCUUAAUGUUGUUGAGCUGUUUUUGUUUUAAAGACAUGCAUGUUGGUUUCUAAAUUACAUCCAUAUUACUUUUUCAAUGCAGAUCAAUAUUGAGAGAUGUAAUGUGGUUCUCAACAAUCAAUGCAUUCUGGGAGUAUUUAACAGUUGUCAUCUAUUUGAUGUUUUGAUUGGUUCCUUUUUGAAUUUUUGACGAG
rnacentral:lncRNA from 1 species